AGCUAAUAGACCGUUAAGGCUUUUGACCAGACAAAAGCCAAUUCAGCCGAAGCGGUUGUGGCUGUGUCAAGGUGCAAUUUGAAAACCAAGGAAAGGGGAGAGCAGAAAAGUCGUGGGACUGACAUCACUAAAAUACUUCUGAUACUUUCAGGGAAGCCAUACUUGAAGUCUGAAUGAGACGUCACAAAAGAGAAACAGCAGGCAGUAUAAACCCAGGUGGACAACUUUGAGGACGUUUGGCAGCACAAUAUAAAGAUUGCUGUUGUUGGUGCUUCCUACGCUGAAGAUCCUGUUGAUGUCUCUCUUAUUCUUGACGGCAAGGAGGUUGUGACUGGAUGUGGAAAUACUGCAAAGGCAUGUACACUGCUAAUGGGUCUGAUAUAUUCCCUCAAUCUUGCUUAUCCUCCAACACUGCGUUACACUUUUGAAGUGUUCCAGAAGCUUUUCUUAGAUUUAGACGCAAUAAAGCUAUCCCCCAAAGUACAAACUCUGAAAAUGAAGUUGCUGUCCAAAACUUAAAAGAUGACAUUUUAUUCAGCUUUGUUCAGCUUGGUAUGCCUUUGCCAUUAUAGCAGUUUAUGCUAUAAAGUUGUAUUGUUAUUGUGUAACUCUUGCACAUGCUUCAAAGUCGUUAAUUGUUCAUGAAUGUUAAUACAGCUGCAAAACUUAUGCAGCCAUUUCUCACAGCUGUGCCUUCAGAAAGGACUUAUAUAGAUAAUAGUAUGACAACAAGAAUUGCUGAUUUGUUGUUUUUUUUUUUCAAGUGUAAAACUUGGACAAAAAAGGCUGUCAAUAAAACAAAGUUGUUAAA
ensembl:lncRNA